CAGAAAGCGCCCUUUACGGGGAGGCAGCAGCAAGGAACGAUCCCCAAUGGGACGCAAGCAGCAGGUGUGCAACGCCGCGUGGGAGGACGACGGCCGGCGGGGUGGAAACACCCAACGGGUGGGACGACUACGACGGUACCACCAGAAGCAGCCCCGGCGAACGCUGUGCCAGCAGCCGCGGCAAGACAGAGGGGGCAAGCGUAGGCCGGAGUCACUGGGCGUAAAGGGGGAGCGGCUCGCGCGCGUAAACGCCGCAACGGCAGCGCAAGAGCAGAAAGGGGACGGAGGAGAGGCGGAGAGACCGGAGAACGACAGAGCGGAGGCCGGCCACCCGGGCGCGGCCGCACGGAGGGGAAGAGGGAGAACGAAAACCGAGCAGGAAAAGGUAGGGUGGGGGAGGGGGGGGGUAGAGGAAGGGCGGG
rnacentral:rRNA from 1 species